CUUGGUCAUUUAGAGGAAGUAAAAGUCGUAACAAGGUUUCCGUAGGUGAACCUGCGGAAGGAUCAUUAUCACGUUUCCACGUUUCAACAACCGCGAACCGUGUUCCUAGUGAAAUGCAGAGAGUGGUCUGGAAAUGGUUUCGGCGAGGUUAUCCAAGCUGACGCCAUGUGAAGCGCUUUGGGCCCUUUUGUUGGCGGGUUUCGGGCUUCUCCACGAUCCUGGCCAAAAGCCGCUGCACUCACUGGGCGUUAUCCCACGUAAAUCCGUGGCCCCACUAACCACUGAAACCAAAAUUGUGUUAUAUGUUUGAACUGAUCUGUUCUUCCUUUGUCAACUUCGGUUGCGAAGACGAACAAUUAUUAAAACUUUGUACAACUCUUAGCAACGGAUACCUUGGCUCUCGUAACGAUGAAGAACGCAGCGAAAUGCGAUACGUAAUGCGAAUUGCAGAAUUCAGUGAAUCAUCGAAUCUUUGAACGCAAAUUGCGCUUUCGGGAUAGGCCUGAAAGCAUGUUUCUUUGAGCAUCGUGUCUAAACAAAGUCGGCUGCGUGCCGGAAAAUGAAAGUCCAGUGUCGUGGGCACAGGUCUUUUUAAGACAAUUGCCACCAUGAACUUCGAACGCACUGUAGAGAUGCUUUGCAGGCGGCGCGAUUAAAUUUUUUCUCACGUUGUACUGCUCUGUGCCUCUCAGGAUGCGCUUGGGGAGAUUUGGUGAAAACGGAAAACUCUUUUGACCUAGAUCUCAAAUGAAGCAAGAGAACCCGCUGAACUUAAGCAUAUCAUUAAGCGGAGGAAAAGAAACUAACAAGGAUGCCCUCAGUAACGGCGAGUGAAGCGGGCAAAGCUCAACCUGUAAAUCUGAUACCUUAGCGGGUAUCCGAAUUGUGGGCUACAGACGCUGUAUCAGUGUGUGACCCAGGUAUAAAUCUUUUGGAACAUGGUUAUCAUAGAGGGUGAGAGUCCCGUCUGUGACCUGGAGUUCACCGCGUACGAUACGCGUUCUAAGAGUCGGGUUGUUUGGGAUUGCAGCCCUAAUUGGGUGGUAAACUUCAUCCAAAGCUAAAUAUCGACGAGAGACCGAUAGCGAACAAGUACCGUGAGGGAAAGGUGAAAAGAACUUUGAAAAGAGAGUUAAAAAGUACUUGAAAUUGCUAAGAGGGAAGCACUGGAAACCAGUCGUGCCAAGCGUCUAUAUUUACCACCCGCAGAACUGAUCUCUGAGAUGACGAGCCCAAAGCCGGACAUCAAAAGGGUGAUGACAUGUGGUUGGGUUCUGUAGCGUUGGGUGAGUCAGAAUCAAUUCGAUCCGUGAGAGAAAGCUUGCGACACGCAGAGGACGGAAGGUUUCGGCCCAAUGUCUGUUCGGUGUGUGAGUGCUAUCAUGGGUUGGAUUGAGGGAAAUCACAAGUGCGCACCACUAGGUUAGCUAUUCCCUUCUCCCUGGAAGAUAACUGGGCUUAGCACAAAAAAUUUGUGCGGUCCGGAAGCCAACCACUGGAAUCGGAGAGUAAGCAGCUGCACUCGAGAUUCUGACGAAAUGGUUUUCAUUGACCCGUCUUGAAACACGGACC
rnacentral:rRNA from 1 species